CGCGGGGUGGAGCAGCCUGAUAGCUCGUCGGGCUCAUAACCCGAAGGUCGUCGGUUCAAAUCCGGCCCCCGCAACCA
rnacentral:tRNA from 3 species